GGGAGAAGCAGGCUCCAUGCACCAGGAGCCCGAUGUGGGACUCGAUCCCGGGUCUCCAGGAUCGUGCCCUGGGCCAAAGGCAGGCGCCAAACCGCUGCGCCACCCAGGGAUCCCUAUUUCUACAGAAUUAAAAAGUAUGCACAACAUAUUGUUAGGAAUAUAUAUAAAUAUAUAUCCCUACGGGGAAGCCAGAAAGCAAAACACUUCCAACAACAACAAAAUUAAAAUAAAAGGAGGGGCACCUGGCUGGCACAGUUGGAGGAGUGACUCUUGAUCUUGGGGUUGUGAGUUAGAGCCCCACAUUGGGUGUAGAGAUUACUUAAAAUAAAUAAAUAAAUUUUAAAAAGUUAAAAGCAUAAGAAUGACACUUGCAAUGCAAGAAUGGUUUCCUGGGGGCAGAAGGGGUUAGGAGGGUGUAGAUGAGGGAGGAAAAUGAAAUAGGGUGGGUGAGGGGCUCAAGAGCUCCAGUAAAGUUCUGUUAGCUGGAAGGUAAGCACAGGGAUAUUUGGGUUUUGUUUUAUUUAGAGUGCUCUAAUUAUUUGUAUGCAUUAAAGUAACUAACCAAGGGAAAAUUUUUCUCAAAGUGUGGCUUUGAGAAAUGGGCUUGAAAUAUUAAAAUGAGGCAUAUUAUAAAAUAUGAGCCAAUGUUUACUAAAAAUUGCAUUUAUAUGCAAAGAUAAAGGCGGGAGAUGAAAUUUUUUGUACUGCUUAUCUCUGGAUUAUAGGAUUACAGGUGAUUUUUCCUUUAAGUUUAUAUUUUCCAUAUUUCCUAAAGUGAACAUUUUUGAGAUAAUAAAAGCAUAAGGUUUGUUAUAUAGAGAAAAAAACGGUGUCUGAUAGAGAAAGUACACAACUCAUAGCUAUUUAAUGCAUUGCCACACUGAGAAGUGGAUGAAUUUUUAAAAGAAAUCAUUUUUAGCCCAAAGGCAUCACUUUGGGAUGGUGGAAGUCUAGACUCCUGACCAGCGGGUCUCAAGCUAUAUUUCUGGGUAGGUAUAGAUGGGUGUGUGUGAGGCCUUUUGGCCCUUCACCAUGAGUCAGUGUGCUGGUAACUUGCAUAAUAUGGAAAAGAAAAGGUCCUGCCAACAGGAAAGUUACUCAUUCUUGCAGUUGGAUAAUAGAUCUAGAGGAGUAGUCGGGGGUGCAUCCUGUGUCCUGUCUUAGCCUUCUGCAUUCUCAUUCAUUGCCAUGGAAUUUUUCCACUUGCGAAUGAAUAUCAACUGGACAAUUAAUGGCCCAAAUGAGCAGUACUAACAUUUAAUUAGGAAGGCUUGCAUUCAAAGAAUCCAUUUCUAGAUCCGUAAGCCAACACUAGGGAGUGGUAACACCCAACAUAAAGGAAAGGGUCAAAUCCUUGACAUGGUGUCUAAUGAUGGCUUUACACGGUAUCAAAUUUCGUAGUUGUGAAAUAUCCCCAAAUCAACUUACAAGACAGUGAAGAUCAAAGAAACAGGCGAUCCACAAAAAAGAUCUUAUUUCUCUCCCAUGAAAGAGAAAGAAGACAGAAAAUGGAAGCAGUAGUUACCCCAGCACAGUGGCCCUGCAGAGAACCCAGGUAACCAUGGUAACUGGUUGGGACUGGUCUUUUGGUUGGAAAGAUUCAAAUUCUAGAACUGUUGGUUGGAUUUGCACAAAGUCCCAUGAGAGAUAGCUAGUGAAUUUCAAGUGUGGAGUGGUUCACUCUGGGGAGAUAGCAGCCUUUUUGUAAAAAAUCCUGGUUCCUAAUUGCUGGUGAGAAGAGCUAGCCCUUUGUAGCAGUCAAAAACCCCUUAUGUCUAGCAAACUUUCCUUCCUUAAAGUUAUGGUACUCAAGGAAAAAACACUUUGGGAAUCUUGAAGAGAUUGAACCAGAACAUCAAAGUUUUCCUCAUACACAAAUAUUUUAUGAGCAACAAAAUAGACAAUUUCCUCCAUAUAAGCAAUCAUUAAAAUGCCAAAGAAGGGCCUAUUUAUGAUUUAAAGUUCCCAUGAUGCUCUAAUGAAGGCACUGCUUAUUUCUACCUGGGAAACAUGGAAUAAAAAAAAGUAUAUAUACCUAAUUAUGAAAAUCCCUUACCUUUCUUGUAAUUUCUUGAGUUUCUCAGGGUCUGCCUUUAUCUUAAUGGCUUCCUUUUCAUCCUUGAAAGCAGAGACUGCCAUUCUGUUUCCAUUAUCACUUUGAUUUGGGAAAUCAGAGACUGCAAAGAAAGUAAAAGGUAUGUUUUCUUGCAGAGACCCAGGCACAUGCAAAUGGCCUUGUAAAUUCAUUCUUGAUGGAGAGGAGCUGGAAGAUUCCACAAAGGACAAACUGCUUUGAGAAUUUAGUAAGAGGUCUUCUGCAUAUAAUGGAGCCCUCUGUGAUGGGCUUGUUAAAGUAACAUCUGCUCCCCUGACAUCAAAUUCAUGUACACUGUUUACUGGAAAAUAACUUUGGUUUUCAGCACUGGCAAAUGGAUUCCUAUUUCUAAUGGGGGACAGUGGUCGACGAACAUUAAAUCUUGAGUUUCCCUCUGAGUCUGCACUGUGAAUAAACGUUGACGACAUUGACAAGUCUACUGGAAUAUCCUCUCUCAUAGCAGAAUGCAUUAAUGAGCCAGGAAUGUUAUAAGAUGAAUUCACUGGUGAUCUUGGAGCUGUUGGUCUGCCAGAAAGAAAAUAGUCAAGAGAAUUACUAGAACUGUUUAAAUAGGCAUGCCAAUCUCUUUCAUAAUCGUGAGUACCAGGCCUAUCUUCCACUGAAGUACAAUCUCUAAGUACAUUCUCAGCAUUGAGGUCACCAUCUAGACUAGCUUCAGAUUUGGUGUCCCAUGAAGGAAAGGUGCUGUUCUUGUGUUCACCAUUACCAUUGUCAUUCUCUCUAGGAGACCCCCCAUUAGGUGGCUCAGGGUCUUGAAACACCCUUGGCCCAAGAGGAGGUGGCUCUGUCACUAGCUCCAUUGCAUUGCUUAUUCUUAAUGAGCCAUGACUGGACUCAUUUCUUCUUACAGAAUUAGCUCUGCAAUUUUCAGGAUUUUCUUCAAAAUUUUUAUUUUUGUCCUGAGUGGCCAAUGUCCCAAGAAAUCGACUUCUCUUAUGAUUGGGAGGAGAACGAGGUGGGCGCAUACCAACCAACAAAAGUUCUUCUGCUAUGAGGGUCUCCUCUUCAGUGUCAUCACUUUCUCCUCCAGGGUCUAAUGAUAAAAUGGAAUAAAAAUCUUCAUCUCGGAAUCUAAAUGGUGCCCUUCUUGGUCCUCCCAUGGUGGUGGUUAAGAGUGGUGGUCUCAAGGACUCACUCAACACCUGAGGGGUGUUUGUUCCUUGGAAGGCCUGAGGUAGGGCUGGAUGUGGCUCAUUCUGGGAAAGGGCACUUGAGUCUCCUUUUUUGGCUCGUUCAGAGGUAUUCUCAGUCAUGGUCAUUAGCUGGGAGGAUGAGACUACAUUUCUUCUCUCUUGAGUUGGCCUCUUCAGCUUAGUGUCACUUGCCCACAUUGGGCCCUCUUGUUGAAUUAUUGGAUCUACAUGGAAAAAAAAAACCACACAAGUUUAUCAUUCUCCUAUAGGUGUUCAUGGAUGAAAGACCUCUAACACCAAGGGUGAGAGUCCCUCAAGGCAACAAGGAAGCCUAGAGAAGAAAGUAUGCAUGGCUAAAAUGGCUGGAGUAUUUAUAGAGAAGGAAAACCAGGAACACGUUCUACAAAAACCACCAGUGCCUUCUCAUCUGGAUUCAUUCAACGCAUCAGCCUUCACGCCCUGCUCCCCUCAUGCUGGCCUGCAGGAUCUAAGGAGGCGCUGCUGUCCUUAUUCAGCUUCUAAAGCCAUCUACCUCAACAAGGGACAGGAACUCUGUGGGUUCGGAGAAGGCCUGUGUGGUACUAGCUCAGGCAAGGAUUUGAUUUGCAAAUCCUCGGAGCAUCUGGCCCAGUCAAGGGCCAAGUCAAUACUGACUCACUUUAAUUGAGGGCCUCCCGGGGAGCACCCGUUCCUAAUGUCCUAAUACUCUGUAAGCCUCUUUUAUUGUUAACUGCAUGGGACACUCAGCAACGCAGUGUGAAUUUUUACUCAUCAGCUCUUCCAGAAAUCAGUUAAGCUCUCCUAUCAGGCCCCUCGUGGGUUUUAUAAACUCCAGUAAGAGAUGUAUCAGCAAUUUCAGGAGGCUCUGAGCAUCUGGCUGUGUAUGUAUAGGAGAGGAGCUGGUAUGUCCACUCAGAUCACAUUUUGAGGGACAAAUGCUUCUAUCUGACCAACUGAAUUGAAUUAUCUUGAUAAUUUUUUGGGGGUGGUGGGAGGUGAUAUAGAAGAUUUGGAAAUGCAGGCUCUGAUGGAUUACUUUUCAAUUUGAAUUUGAUAAAGGGCCUUGGAGAAAGGUGCUGGAACUUCUGGUCUGUCCCUGAACACACAGCUGUCUCUCUGCCCUGAGCCAAUUUAGUUUGGGCUUCAGGAGACGCCUAAGCAAAAUAAGCAGCUAGGGCAGCUUCUAAAAAAAUGGAACUAGACACUCAACAGGAACCACAAGCUUAUUUCAAGGAAGUCAUGGAGCUGUCACCCAGCCGCACUGGCUUCUGAAUGCUGCAGGGCAGCUCCUGUGGAUCCCAAAACACCCCAGGGAAUGCAUCUUCACCCUUCUUUGUCACCACUGCUGCCCUUUCUCUUUAAAGGUUCAAUCAGCCUUCCCUGGUAUGUUUACCUCUAAAGGUGGCAGACUGCGCCAUUCUAUAUUUAUGCUAUUUUAACCCGAUUUCUGACGUUUAUCAGAUAGGGAGCAGAUUUCAUAGCUCUGGGGUUGGGAAUAAACACCCCAUGUGGUAUGCCAGGAUGUGCUAUUCAUAGACCAGGCCUUACAGAUUCUGCUGAAUGCCUCUGGGGCCCCUUGUGGACUUCAGCUCAGAAGGGAAGGCCUCCAGGGGUUCAACUAGGUGUGGCUGAGUGUUCUAGAUACAACAAGACAAACCAGAAAAAGCAUCUGUCUGCCCUCAGGCUAUGUCUUUGGUCUAGACUUCUUCAUGUGCUUGACCAACCAGUACUAACCUGUACUUUCCUACAUUCCAACAGCCAUAUAUACUUUUAACUUUUUCCUCUGUUUAUACAAGUAGUCACUAUUCAUUUUGGGGGAAAUUUGGAACUUUCAGAAGAAGAAGAAGAAGAAAAAAAAAAUCCCAUAAUCCUAAACCUAGAUGGCCAUUGCUCCUGUUCUGGAAUUCAGGGGUUGGCUGCCAACUCAAGACCUCUGGGCUAUUCUCAUCCUGCAGUAGUGCUUUGACUCAGCCUUUGAACACUGAGUUAACCACCUUUAGGUAGAGCCUGUAUGUUCUGGUUUACCUCCAUCCCCAUAGCCUUGAAUAUCUGUUUCUCCUGCCAUCCCUGCCUGUUCCCUGAAGGCAUCUGAAUUUAUAACUCUGAGCUCUUUUACCUAGAAAUACUUUUUAAAAUAUUUGAAUAUUGGGGUAUAUACAACUUUAUGUCCUGCUUUGUUUCCCUCAGCUUUUUAUUGUGAGCAUUAUCUCCUGCCAUAAAUUCAAUUAUUCUUUAAAAGCAUGAGGGGCACGCUCUUUAAAGGGGGCAUCUGAGUGGCUCAGUCGGUUAAUCAUCUGCCCUCAGUUCAGGUCAUGAUCCCAGGGUCCUGUGAUUGAGCCCCAUGUUGGGCUCCCUGCUCAGCGGGAAGCCUGCUUCUCCCUCUCCCUC